rnacentral:rRNA from 1 species
UACGUAGGGGGCUAGCGUUGUCCGGAAUCAUUGGGCGUAAAGCGCGUGUAGGCGGCCCGAUAAGUCCGCUGUGAAAGUCCAGGGCUCAACCCUGGGAUGCCGGUGGAUACUGUCGGGCUCGAGUCCGGAAGAGGCGAGUGGAAUUCCGUGGUGUAGCGGUGAAAUGCGCAGAUAUCAGGAGGAACACCAAUGGCGAAGGCAGCUCGCUGGGACGUGACUGACGCUGAGACGCGAAAGCGUGGGGAGCAAACAGG